AUUGAACGCUGGCGGCAGGCCUAACACAUGCAAGUCGAGCGGAUGAAGGGAGCUUGCUCCUGGAUUCAGCGGCGGGCGGGUGAGUAAGGCCUAGGAAGCUGCCUGGUAGUGGGGGAUAACGUCCGGAAACGGGCGCGAAUACCGCAUACGUCCUGAUGGAGAAAGGGGGGGAUCUUCGGACCUCACGCUAUCAGAUGAGCCUAGGUCGGAUUAGCUAGUUGGUGGGGUAAAGGCCUACCAAGGCGACGAUCCGUAACUGGUCUGAGAGGAUGAUCAGCCACACUGGAACUGAGACACGGUCCAGACUCCUACGGGAGGCAGCAGUGGGGAAUAUUGGACAAUGGGCGAAAGCCUGAUCCAGCCAUGCCGCGUGUGUGAAGAAGGUCUUCGGAUUGUAAAGCACUUUAAGUUGGGAGGAAGGGCAGUAAGUUAAUACCUUGCUGUUUUGACGUUACCAACAGAAUAAGCCCCGGCUAACUUCGUG
rnacentral:rRNA from 1 species